AGCGAACGCUGGCGGCAGGCCUAACACAUGCAAGUCGAACGAACCUUUCGGGGUUAGUGGCGGACGGGUGAGUAACACGUGGGAACGUGCCUUUAGGUUCGGAAUAACUCAGGGAAACUUGUGCUAAUACCGAAUGUGCCCUUCGGGGGGAAGAUUUAUCGCCUUUAGAGCGGCCCGCGUCUGAUUAGCUAGUUGGUUGAGGUAAUGGCUCACCAAGGCGACGAUCAGUAGCUGGUCUGAGAGGAUGAUCAGGCACAUUGGGACUGAGACACGGCCCAAACUCCUACGGGAGGCAGCAGUGGGGAAUCUUGCGCAAUGGGCGAAAGCCUGACGCAGCCAUGCCGCGUGAAUGAUGAAGGUCUUAGGAUUGUAAAAUUCUUUCACCGGGGACGAUAAUGACGGUACCCGGAGAAGAAGCCCCGGCUAACUUCGUG
rnacentral:rRNA from 1 species